rnacentral:rRNA from 1 species
CCGUUAAAGCUGACUGCGGAGGAUCAUUACACAAAUAUGAAGGCGGGCUGGAACCUCUCGGGGUUACAGCCUUGCUGAAUUAUUCACCCUUGUCUUUUGCGUACUUCUUGUUUCCUUGGUGGGUUCGCCCACCACUAGGACAAACAUAAACCUUUUGUAAUUGCAAUCAGCGUCAGUAACAAAUUAAUAAUUACAACUUUCAACAACGGAUCUCUUGGUUCUGGCAUCGAUGAAGAACGCAGCGAAAUGCGAUAAGUAGUGUGAAUUGCAGAAUUCAGUGAAUCAUCGAAUCUUUGAACGCACAUUGCGCCCUUUGGUAUUCCAAAGGGCAUGCCUGUUCGAGCGUCAUUUGUACCCUCAAGCUUUGCUUGGUGUUGGGCGUCUUGUCUCUAGCUUUGCUGGAGACUCGCCUUAAAGUAAUUGGCAGCCGGCCUACUGGUUUCGGAGCGCAGCACAAGUCGCACUCUCUAUCAGCAAAGGUCUAGCAUCCAUUAAGCCUUUUUUUCAACUUUUGACCUCGGAUCAGGUAGGGAUACCCGCUGAACUUAAGCAUAUCAAUAAGGCGGAGGAAGGUUCCCCAAUC